rnacentral:rRNA from 1 species
UACGGAGGGUGCGAGCGUUGUCCGGAAUCACUGGGCGUAAAGGGCGCGUAGGUGGCGCGGGAAGUCAACGGUGAAAGUUCGGGGCUCAACCCUGAAUCGGCCGUCGAUACUCCCGGGCUCGAGCACUGUAGAGGCAGAUGGAAUUCCGGGUGUAGCGGUGGAAUGCGUAGAGAUCCGGAAGAACACCGGUGGCGAAGGCGGUCUGCUGGGCCAAGACUGACGCUGAGGCGCGACAGCGUGGGGAGCAAACAGG